rnacentral:rRNA from 1 species
UACAGAGGGGGCAAGCGUUAUUCGGAAUUAUUGGGCGUAAAGGGCGCGUAGGCGGUUCUUUAAGUGAGAUGUGCAAUCCCCGAGCUUAACUUGGGAACUGCAUCUCAGACUGGAGAGCUGGAGUACUGGAGAGGGUGGUAGAAUUCCACGUGUAGCGGUGAAAUGCGUAGAGAUGUGGAGGAAUACCAGUGGCGAAGGCGGCCACCUGGACAGUAACUGACGCUGAGGCGCGAAAGUGUGGGUAG